rnacentral:tRNA from 1 species
UGCCCCUUGGUGUAAUUGGCAACACGUCUGACUCUGGAUCAGAAAAGUCUAGGUUCGAGCCCUAGAGGGGCAG